rnacentral:tRNA from 1 species
GCCUGGCUGGCUCAGUCGGUAGAGCAUGCAACUUUUAAUCUUAGGGUUGUGAGUUUGAGCCCCAUGUUGGGUG